rnacentral:rRNA from 1 species
AACCUGCGGAGGGAUCAUUACAGAGUUAUCCAACUCCCAAACCCAUGUGAACUUAUCUCUUUGUUGCCUCGGCGCAAGCUACCCGGGACCUCGCGCCCCGGGCGGCCCGCCGGCGGACAAACCAAAACUCUUGUUAUCUUAGUUGAUUAUCUGAGUGUCUUAUUUAAUAAGUCAAAACUUUCAACAACGGAUCUCUUGGUUCUGGCAUCGAUGAAGAACGCAGCGAAAUGCGAUAAGUAAUGUGAAUUGCAGAAUUCAGUGAAUCAUCGAAUCUUUGAACGCACAUUGCGCCCAUUAGUAUUCUAGUGGGCAUGCCUGUUCGAGCGUCAUUUCAACCCCUAAGCACAGCUUAUUGUUGGGAACCUACGGCUUCGUAGUUCCUCAAAGACAUUGGCGGAGUGGCAGUGGUCCUCUGAGCGUAGUAAUCUUUUAUCUCGCUUCUGUUAGGUGCUGCCCCCCCGGCCGUAAAACCCCCAAUUUUUUCUGGUUGACCUCGGAUCAGGUAGGAAUACCCGCUGAACUUAAGCAUAUCAAUAAGCGGAGGA